rnacentral:rRNA from 1 species
UACGUAGGUGGCGAGCGUUGUCCGGAAUGACUGGGCGUAAAGGGAGCGUAGGUUGCAAAUUAAGUUAGAUGUGAAAGCCCAAGGCUCAACCUUGGAAUUGCAUUUAAAACUGGUUAGCUAGAGUACAGGAGGGGUAAGCGGAAUUCCUAGUGUAGCGGUAAAAUGCGUAGAUAUUAGGAGGAACACCGGAGGCGAAGGCGGCUUACUGGACUGCAACUGACACUGAGGCUCGAAAGCGUGGGGAGCAAACAGG